UACGUAGGUGGCGAGCGUUGUCCGGAUUUACUGGGCGUAAAGAGCGCGCAGGCGGUCGGCCAAGUCGAGUGUGAAAGCCCCCGGCUCAACUGGGGAGGGUCACUUGAUACUGGUCGACUCGAAGGCGGGAGAGGGAAGUGGAAUUCCCGGUGUAGUGGUGAAAUGCGUAGAUAUCGGGAGGAACACCAGUGGCGAAGGCGACUUCCUGGCCCGUUCUUGACGCUGAGGCGCGAAAGCUAGGGGAGCGAACGGG
rnacentral:rRNA from 1 species